GAUGAACGCUGGCGGCGUGCCUAAUACAUGCAAGUCGAGCGAAUAGAUGAGGAGCUUGCUCUUCUGACGUUAGUGGCGGACGGGUGAGUAACACGUGGAUAACCUACCUUUAAGACUGGGAUAACUUUGGGAAACCGGAGCUAAUACCGGAUAAUAUUUUGAACCGCAUGGUUCAAUAGUGAAAGAUGGUUUUGCUGUAACUUAUCGAUGGAUCAGCGCCGCAUUAGCUAGUUGGUAAGGUAAAGGAUUACCAAGGUAACGAUGCGUAGCCGACCUGACGGGGUUAUCGGCCACGCUGGAACUGGGACACGGUCCAUACUCCUACGGUAGGCAGCAGUAGGGAAUCUAGCGCAAUGGACAAAAGCCUAACGGGGCAACGCCGCGUGAGUAAUAAAGUUCUUCGAUUCGAAAAACUCUGUUAAUAGAGAAGAACAAAUUUCUAAGGAACUAUGCACGUCUUGACGGUAACUAAUCAGAAAGCCACGGCUAAGUACGUG
rnacentral:rRNA from 1 species